rnacentral:rRNA from 1 species
CGAACGGGUGAGUAACGCGUGAGGAACCUGCCUCAAANAGGGGGACAACAGUUGGAAACGACUGCUAAUACCGCAUAAGCCCACGGGUCGGCAUCGACCAGAGGGAAAAGGAGCAAUCCGCUUUGAGAUGGCCUCGCGUCCGAUUAGCUAGUUGGUGAGGUAAUGGCCCACCAAGGCGACGAUCGGUAGCCGGACUGAGAGGUUGAACGGCCACAUUGGGACUGAGACACGGCCCAGACUCCUACGGGAGGCAGCAUG